UGAGGGGUUGAACCAGGCUCUGUGGGGGCAUGGAGCUGCCUCCAUGCUGCCCAUGCUCUCGUGGGGUUUUCUGCUGGCUCCACUCUGCCCCGUGUUGUGGAUAGCUUCCCAAAGCUGGAGUCUAAAUUUACUUCCUUUCUGCAGAGGCCUGUUAGUCAUCUCCCACUUAUAAACAAACAUUUUAGAGACACCAGGGAAGCCGAGCCAUGAAGAAGACAAAGCUUUGCUGGUUUUCAAGUAACUAAUUCAUCAGCAGGCUCCACAGGAGUUGUGCAAUAGCCCAGCCACUAAAGAAUCAAAACCAUCCCCUACUUGUUAGGAAAACAGGCUUCUUGCAUAGACAGAUCUUUUUGUCUUCAGUUUGACUUUCACAUUCCUUUAAAAGCAUUGUAGAUGAGAUGGUUUGUCUUCCUGCUUUUCUGCUGAUCAGCCCAUGCCGUCUUCAGACCCUUCCUUCCUCUGUGUGCGGAGGUCUCCUCAAGUCGUUCUGAGGGUGCUUGCACUGGUAGGAGAGCAGAGGCCUGAGGAGUGGUGGUGGCUGCAGACUUGUAAAAGGGGAUCAUUUUCUUAAGCUAUUUGAAACCGGGAAAACCAGCAGCUGACUUUAAUUAAAUGGGGACCAGACUAUAAAUCCCACCACCGGCGUUUCCUCCCCACGGAAGCGAACCUCUGAAGUCUGCUCCAACCUGCCUUGCUGCAGGACCAAGUGCAUCAGCAGCCAAAGGUUACCCCCUGCAGUAAAUCCAAAGCUACUGC